UGAGGUUUUGAAAUGAAUAUCAAGCUUACUCUUCUGAAACUAGUCCAUCUGUGUUCUCUCUAAACACAUUUUCAAGAUGGACAGGUUAAAAGUCGACUGGUUAACCACAAUGGAAACAGCACAUCUUUAGUAACUGUUGUUCCCCAACCAGUCAGAGAUUGAUGUAAAAGGCCCUCUUGUUGUGGUUACAACAAAACUGUUGCUAAGCACCAACAGUUUUAACAUCAAAAAGAUCAACUAAAUUAACAUGAAGAGAUUUCAUUCCAGAGGAAGACCUGCUAUGCGCUGAAGAAAAGCAGGUUAACACUGAGGACAUGAAUCAGAGACUCUCAGAACUGAUUUAAAGGAGGGCUUGUGCUGUUUCUUCAUAUCCCAUUCUGGAAAAGGGACAAGAACAUGAAAGCCUAAAGCAAAGCGCAUCACACUCACAUCAACUUUGAUCAGACCACCUUAAGGAACAUUUAAUCAACCUUCAUGAUUCAAAGGACACUGCAUCACUCACCUUCUCCUGAUGCCCUGUUUUCAUGGAUGAUGUGAAUUUUUUUAUAGCAAGCAAUAAAGGACUGUUUGACCCAGUA